rnacentral:rRNA from 1 species
UACGUAGGGGGCAAGCGUUGUCCGGAUUUAUUGGGCGUAAAGAGCGUGUAGGCGGCCAGAUAGGUCCGUUGUGAAAACUCGAGGCUCAACCUCGAGACGCCGAUGGAAACCAUCUGGCUAGAGUCCGGAAGAGGAGAGUGGAAUUCCCGGUGUAGCGGUGAAAUGCGCAGAUAUCAGGAGGAACACCGAUUGCGAAGGCAGCUCGCUGGAACGUUACUGACGCUGAGACGGCGAAAGCGUGGGGAGCAAACAGG